rnacentral:misc_RNA from 1 species
GAUGAAGAACGCAGCGAAAUGCGAUAAGUAAUGUGAAUUGCAGAAUUCAGUGAAUCAUCGAAUCUUUGAACGCACAUUGCGCCCGCCAGUAUUCUGGCGGGCAUGCCUGUUCGAGCGUCAUUACAACCCUCAGGCCCCCGGGCCUGGCGUUGGGGAUCGGCGGAGCCCCCCGUGGGCACACGCCGUCCCCCAAAUGCAGUGGCGGUCCCGCCGCAGCUUCCAUCGCGUAGUAGCUAACACCUCGCGACUGGAGAGCGGCGCGGCCACGCCGUAAAACACCCAACUCUUCUGAAGUUGACCUCGAAUCAGGUAGGAAUACCCACUGAACUUAAGCAUAUCAAUAAGCGAGGA